rnacentral:lncRNA from 1 species
GAAAUCAUUGAAAGACAAUAAGAAAUGCAUCACAUUCUGACAAAAUGGAUUGAAUUGAGAUCAAACUUGGAGUAUCUUUUUUUCUUAUCUUGCUUUAUCAAUAAUUAUGAGUUGGAUACAACUUGAAAUAUCAAUGAUGUAUUCUCUUAAUGAAUGAAUCAACAGAGUGAUCAAAUGAUGUAUUUUUUCAAUAGUGUUAUGUUCAUCAUUAUUUAUAUAUGAAAUUUUAUAUGUACCUCAC